rnacentral:rRNA from 1 species
GACGAACGCUGGCGGCGUGCUUAACACAUGCAAGUCGAACGGAAAGGCCCUGCUUUUGUGGGGUGCUCGAGUGGCGAACGGGUGAGUAACACGUGAGUAACCUGCCCUUGACUUUGGGAUAACUUCAGGAAACUGGGGCUAAUACCGGAUAGGAGCUCCUGCUGCAUGGUGGGGGUUGGAAAGUUUCGGCGGUUGGGGAUGGACUCGCGGCUUAUCAGCUUGUUGGUGGGGUAGUGGCUUACCAAGGCUUUGACGGGUAGCCGGCCUGAGAGGGUGACCGGCCACAGUGGGACUGAGAUACGGCCCAGACUCCUACGGGAGGCAGCAGUGGGGAAUAUUGCACAAUGGGCGGAAGCCUGAUGCAGCAACGCCGCGUGCGGGAUGACGGCCUUCGGGUUGUAAACCGCUUUCGCCUGUGACGAAGCGUGAGUGACGGUAAUGGGUAAAGAAGCGCCGGCUAACUACGUG